rnacentral:lncRNA from 1 species
AUUUCUGCGAUGUUUAAUUACAAAAAUACUCUCAGCAUGAAGUAAUUUUUUAACCUGCCAUAUGUUUUUUUUAAGAGAUAGGUAACGCGCUACCUGCUUCGUUUAUUUCAUUUAGAAAUAAACUUAACUAGAAAUGUGAAUCAACUACGAUUCUAACUAGGGUCUAGGGUAUCAACCACCAAGUCUAUUGCCACUUGCUCUAGGGACGGUCGGUUAACCUACUACAUGUUAAAAUAAUACAUUUAUCCUUUAUUGAUCAACGGAUAAAUUUUUUUUAUUUUUUAUAAAAUAAAGUACCGAAUCAUUUCUCUAAGAUUUUAUAUUGUUCAUUAUAUUUUAUGAUAUUUCAAACAUAAGUUAUGUUAUUUAUGAUCUUUUAAAAAUUUUAUAUAUAUNGACAAAAAGAAAACAAAAAAAAAAAAAUCUUGCGGAUAACCCGCAUCUCCGCUAGCCCGCCUACGGGCAGGUAUAAGUAAAGAUGUUUGCUGCCUAAAAAUUUACGGAUAAAUUUUAUCUAUACCCAUAUGACCUAUGGAUACAUCUGCGAUUUAUCGAAUCCGCCUGUUUGCUAGAUUUACUUUCGAUGCUUUACUUUUGGCUAAUUAAUUAUAAACAUGUUCAAAAUAAAGUUGUCCAAAAUACCCGAUAUCCAUAUCCGAUCUGGACUCUACCUGGACCCUACCCAGACUUGACUUGAUAAAAAAUAAAUAGUAUACGGAUAAAAAAAAAAUAUCCAUUAAAGUUUUAGGUAUAUGUUUGGAUACUUUAUACCCAUACCCGAUAUCCAUUAAAGUUUUAGGUAUAUGUUUGGAUACUUUAUACUCAUACCCGACUUGAACACGAUCUGAACCCGACCUUUUAAUGGGUAGGGUUUGGAAGAGUUUCUAAAUCCAGACCCAAACCUGGACUUGGUGAAAUACCUGAUAGUAAAUAAAAAUGAUUUUGAAAUUAAGGGAUAAAUUUCAAUAGGAUUUAUAGAUAAAGGGUUUUCGUGUAUUUUUAUCGUAGUGAAAAUUUUGG